rnacentral:lncRNA from 1 species
AUGGUUCUCUAGUCACUUGACCCAGGAAACCCCACAAAAUCAUGCAAAUCAAGAGGUUCAAAUCUUCAUGUUCACUAAGAACACUCGUGAAACUGGCCAGGCCAUCAAGGGUAUGCAUAUAUGAAAAGCCACCAACCCUAAAGAUGUCACUUUACAGAAGCAGUGUGUUCCAUUCCGAGGUUACAGUGGUGGACUUGGUAGGUGUGCCCCUGCCAAGUAGUGGGGCUGGACACAGGGUUGGUGGCCCCCAAAACAGUGCUGAACUUUUGCUGCACAUGCUUAAAAAUACAGAGAGGAAUGCUGAGCUUAACAGCUUAGAUGUAGAUUCUCUGGUCACUGAGUAUAUCCAAGUGAACAAAGCACCUAAGAUGCACCACAGGACUUACUAGAGCUCAUGGUCAGAUUAAGCCAUACAUGAGCUCUUUGAGAUGAUUCUCACUGAAAAGGAACAAAUCCAAAACCAGAAAAGGAGGCUUCCUGGAAGCAAAAGAUAUCCCAGAAGAAAGUGAAGAAACAAAAACUUAUGGCAUGGGAA